AAAUGAAUUGACGGGACCCCGCACAAGCGGUGGAUCAUGUUGUUUAAUUCGAAGAUACGCGAAAAACCUUACCAGGCCUUGACAUACCAUGCAAAGCUAUAGAGAUAUAGUGGAGGUUAACAUGGAUACAGGUGGUGCAUGGUUGUCGUCAGCUCGUGUCGUGAGAUGUUGGGUUAAGUCCCGCAACGAGCGCAACCCCUAUUGCUAGUUGCCAUCAUUAAGUUGGGGACUCUAGCGAGACUGCCAGUGAUAAACUGGAGGAAGGUGGGGACGACGUCAAAUCAUCAUGCCCCUUAUGGCCUGGGCUACAAACGUGAUACAAUGGCUGUAACAAAGAGCAGCGAGAGGGCGACCUUAAGCAAAACUCAUAAAAGCAGUCUCAGUUCGGAUUAGAGUCUGCAACUCGACUCUAUGAAGCAGGAAUCGCUAGUAAUCGUAGAUCAGAAUGCUACGGUGAAUACGUUCCCGGGGUUUGUACACACCGCCCGU
rnacentral:rRNA from 1 species